CUACGGGGGGCUGCAGGCGAGAAAACUUUGCAAUGUGCGAAAGCACGACAAGGUUAAUCCGAGUGGUUUCUGCUAAAGGAACCUUUUGUUAGUCCUAGAAACACUGAUGAAUAAGGGGUGGGCAAGUUCUGGUGUCAGCCGCCGCGGUAAAACCAGCACCUCAAGUGGUCAGGAUGAUUAUUGGGCCUAAAGCAUCCGUAGCCGGCUUUGUAAGUUUUCGGUUAAAUCCAUACGCUCAACGUAUGGGCUGCCGGGAAUACUGCAAAGCUAGGGAGUGGGAGAGGUAGACGGUACUCGGGAGGAAGGGGUAAAAUCCUUUGAUCUAUUGAUGACCACCUGUGGCGAAGGCGGUCUACCAGAACACGUCCGACGGUGAGGGAUGAAAGCUGGGGGAGCAAACCGGAUUAGAUACCCGGGUAGUC
rnacentral:rRNA from 1 species